GUAACAGAAUUUCAUAAUUGAAAGUAAAAAAAAGUUAAAACACAAAUAACUGGUAACUGUACUUCAUCUAAUUGUAAUAUAUAAAUGAAGUUUAAAUAUGCUUUUUCUUUCAGACUAUAGAUCAGGAAGUCCAGAACAACAUCCUAGAGUUUGAAGGUGGUGUUUGCUCGACAUUCAGAAUUGGGUACUUUGCUAGAUUACAAUGGUAUCAAAGCAGCGAGUGGCUGUUCUACUCGGCACAUCUAUGAAGCUGGUUGUGGAGGGUGCUUCCAACAUAACUUCAGGAACAGUGUACAGAACAAUUGGUGGAACUUGUAUGGUACAGAAAGUAGCACAGGGGCUGGCCAGCUGAGCAGACAGCACACUGGAGAUGUGAUCCUGUGGUCCCGGGUUGGCAAGAAAUGGUGGGCCGAGUUUUUCACCCUAUGCCCCUAAUAAGAAUUGGGAAGUCCAGCUGUUCAUCCUAGAGUUUGAAGGUGUUGAUUGCUUGACAUUCAGAAUGGGGUGGUAAUGGAGAUUAUGAUGGUAUCAAGGAAUUGACUGGCUUAAGAAGUGUGGCUGUUCUACUCUGCACAUCCAAUAAGCUG